rnacentral:rRNA from 1 species
CCGGUCGUGCUACCCAGCGACGUCCUCGCGGAGGUCCUCCGGCGCCUCGUGCCGCACACCCUAGCCGCGGCCCGGCUGGUCUGCAGUGCAUGGCGCGACACCGUCGAUGCCCGCCUGCGUGGCCACCUGCUCUCGCGCUCGGUGCGCGGGAUCUUCAUCAACUUCACCCGGCUUAGAUUCUCAGAGUUCUUCUCACGUCCCACGACUGGCCCCGCGAUCUCUGGAGGGCUCGACUUCUUGCCCUGCAUGGGCGUCACGGUCACGGACCACUGCAACGGCCUAUUGCUUUGCCGCGGUCUGAGACACGAGUGUGACGAUGCAUUGCCGCGCGAUUAUGUCGUGAACCCGGCCACGCGCCGAUGGGCGCGUCUGCCCCAACGUCCUGGGUCAAACGUGUUGGGAUUCGAUCAAAGUGCCUACCUCGCGUUCGAACCGACCAUGUCGACACACUAUGAGGUAUUUUUGGUUCAUGUGUGCUAG